UUGUAGACAUCAACACGAGUGAGUCUAUUCGUCGUCGAUAGUAGGUAGAGCUAGCUCCUCCUAAUGUAUAAGACCCAGAUCUUUAAUUCGCAUCUGCACUUACAUAUGUUUGUUCUUAGCCUUCAAGAUGCACCUGAUUCAGCAAUGUUGUUGGAACUUAUUAAGUUCAAUGUCAGGAAUAUGAACUUAUUAGCCUGCAACAGUUGCCGCUGUUGUUGGCUUUAAGGAGUGCAAAGUGAACUGGUGUUGGCUGAGUAUUACGGGUUCAAGACACAAAAUGAACCACCAAUCUGAUGGACUAAAGGUUACCUUCAAUACAAUUUCAGUCAUUUGUUUGACAGGUUUUGAAAAGCUUCGGCAGCUUCAAAUUAACGGAAGUUCCAGUUUAAGAAAUAAUAAGCUAGCUAAAAGAAAGUAAAUCAUUUGCAAUAUUAUUACCAACUAUAAAGUUGUAUUCUGAACAAAAAUUCUACCAUGCUCGCUGAUUCAUACAGCUUCUGAGCAUAUUACUACCAGUCUACCAGAAGUUUGUUGCUCAAGAACUGGCCUGUAGGAGCUGUCACAGUCUGAGGUUCCGGUGCAUGCCAAGCUACGCCACGAGUAUCUCCAGCAGCCAGUGGGUCGUGCUUGUGCACGACAAGCCGUCACUGCAGAGUAUGGUUUCACGGUGUUUCUCAUUCUUCCUUGAUUAAACAACGAGAUAUAAGUUGGACGUGGAGCAGAACCUGGACACGGUGCUUAGGUUCUAGAAUGAAUUUGUUUGUGGGGGCAGAAAGAUGUGUAUCCAGCUGUAAGAAGAUGAUCAUCAAGUCUGGGAGGUGACAAAAGUAUGUGGUAUGUACUACAUGCAUGCAGAAAUAAAAUGCAUUGACUAUUUAAGCUUCUCUGAUUCGUUUGUUAUUUCUGAUGGAACAUAAAAAUACUUCAAAAAAUGACUAUAAUUUGCGCUGGAGAUAAGGUUGUGAUGAAAAGGAACUUGCGGGUGACGGAUGCUAGGUGUUCUAUUUUUCUUACAAGAUCAGAGUUUAUUCUCUGUUGCAAUGUUGCUUUGAGGAUGAUGGAAAAAACAUUAUUUUUGGUAGAAUUAUUGGAGUGAAGUGUUCUGUUGAGUGGAUUGCUAAAAGAAGGGCAGUGAUUUGAGUCUACAAAAAUGGAGCCUGCUACUGUGGAUUAUCUGUAUAAGAUCAUAUCGCACAAAGCAGUAAUAAUAAGUGGUUUAUAGGAUUUGUUUUCCUAAAUUGUGAUCUAAUUUGUGGAACACGAUCUUUUUGCUCCAAGAUUACUGACCAGGCUAUGGCACCAAAAGAAGUACGACACCUCCCAGACUUGAUGAUCAUCUUCUUAUAGCUGGCUCCAAGAUUAUGAUCUUUUUGCUCCAAGAUUAAUUUGUGGAACACGAUCAUUUUGCUCCAGAAGGAA